GGGGACUUAGCUCAGCGGUAGAGCGCUUGCCUAGCGAGCGCAGGGCCCUGGGUUCAGUCCCCA
rnacentral:tRNA from 1 species